CUCUCUCACCUUUGGUCCCCACCGGACACUCAGCUCUCACCUGUGGCUCCAAGUAGCUGUUUGCAUGUGACAGCGGCCACACCCCGGUACACCGCUUCGACAGGCGGGCUAAACCAGGUGAGGGUAGCCGGUGGGUCUCGUACCCCGGUGAGACAGGGACAUCAGAUUAGAUUAUGAGGACACUCAGUCCUUGUUUAUUGCCAUUUAGAAAUGCAUGCAUUAAAAAAUGAUACAACGUUCCUCCAGAAUGAUAUCACAAGAAAACACAGGACAAACCAAGACUAAAACUGACAAAACCAUAUAAUAAUAACAUAUAGUUAACACAGUGCAAAGCAAUACCAUAAUUUGAUAAAGAGCAGACCAUGGCCAUGGUUAAAAAAAAAGUCUUAAAGACUGAUAGACUCAUCAUCUCAUGCAGGCGGCAGAAGGGAGAAACUCUCCCUGCCAUGAAUCUCCAAGUGCCGCCAAAUUGCCGAUGCAGUACCAUGGGAAGCACCCGACCGCAGCGGACUCUGAGUCCAUCUGAAAACUUCGAGCCUCCGACCAGCCCCAGAUCCAGGAUACCCAGUGGAUGAUGCAGAGAUGAGGCAAAUUUAAGACAGGGACUGAAGAGCAAGGCUCCAGAGAUCAGGACAACAAAGAGGUGGCCGCGGGAGGCAGAGGAGCGGCUGCGGGAUGGCUAAGAGUCGGUGGACUGGACCGUGUUCAAGAACUCAUCAGUGGAUCUGAUUGAACACACUAUGGCUGCCACAGAGUAUAUAAACAGUCAUAGAUGAGUGUGUCCCCAAAAAAUCAUUCAGAGUCUUCCCCAUUCAGAAGCCCUGGAUGAACCAUGAGAUCUGUUGAGGGCCAGAUUAGAGAUAUUCAGGUCUGACAACCAAGUAGGAUACAAAAUUUCCAGGUACAGUCUCUGAAAAGCCAUCUCAUGGGAGAAGUGACAAUUCCAGACUAAACCAAUCAAUGAAGGAUGCUCGGCAGUUGCUGCAGGGCUUGAAUGAUAUUACCUCUUACAAAGUAAAAUCAGGCAACACGGGUGACAACAGGGCUUCACUUCCAAAUGAGCUCAAUGCCUUCUAUACUCGCUUUGGCUGUCACAGUAUGGAGAAACAUUCGCAAACUGAUCCUGUGAUUUCAGUCUCUGAGGCCUACGUGAGAGCACCCUUCAGGAGGGUGAAUCCACAGAGAACAUCCAAGCCAGAUGGGGUCCCUGGCCUAGUACUAAGGACCAGUGCUGAUCAACUGGCUGAUAUCUUCAACCUCUUGCUUCAGAUGUCUGAGGUACCCACCUGUUUCAAGCAGACUUCAAUUAUACUGUUGCCUAAGAAGAACAUGGAAAUCUGCCUCUAUGACUAUCAUCCAGUAGCAAUUACAUCCACUGUGAUGAAAUGUUUUGAGAAAUUGUUGAUGAAACUAUCAACUCCUGCCUGAGAAGUGACUUGGAUCCACUCAAUUUCCCUACUGCCACAACAGGUUCACAGUAGAUGCAAUUUCAUUGGCUCUUCACUCAAACCUGGAAGAACUGAACAGAAAAGAUGCAUACAUCAGGAUGUUCUUUAUCAACUCGAUGGCCUGCCAUUCAAUAUCGAUAUUGAUGUAUCGAUGCUCGGCAUUCAAUACUAUCAUCCCCUCAGAACUAAUCAAUAAUCUCCACGACCUUGGCCUCAGUACCUCCUUGUGUAAUUGGAUACUCGAUUU